AAACUGGAUGCUUAAGUAAGACAUUGGAUGCUUAAGACGUUACUAUCUAUGAUUUCUUGCACAUUCAUAGAUUUCUUUGCAUCAAAGUUUUCUAUCUGCUUUAAGUGUCUAAAAAUGCAAAGAUUCUGCCCCAGCAACCUGUCAACACUGAAAAGGAGAGAAAGAAUUCACCACUUCGGUAGAAGAAAUAGAAUUUCUAGAGAGAAAAGGAGAGUGAAAAGAAUGCCUAAUUAAUGUACAUGUGUGAACGAUGCAAGACUGUCUAUUCAAUCACCAACAGUUUAUAAAAGAUAUGCAGAGAAGAGGGGAUAUACCAAGAAAAAUGGGGUGAUAUAAAUUCCUAAAAUAAUUUGAUGAUAUCUGUUUUGUAAUAACAUGGUAAGUUCUAGUAUAUUUCAAUUUAGAAUCAUUGCAACAAUGAAGAAUUAUGAACUGUUUCAGUUAUAGGUUACUCGUCUUGUAUUAUAGGGCUUAAAAAUAUAUACAUUUGCAAAUGUCAUAU
rnacentral:lncRNA from 1 species